rnacentral:rRNA from 1 species
CCUACGGGUGGCAGCAGUGGGGAAUAUUGGGCAAUGGAGGCAACUCUUACCCAGCAAUGCCGCGUGAAUGAAGAAGGCCUUCGGAUUGUAAAGUUCUUUAGUCGGGGACGAAACAAGUGACGGUACCUGACGAAUAAGCCACGGCUAACUACGUGCCAGCAGCCGCGGUAAUACGUAGGGGGCAAGCGUUGUUCGGAUUGACUGGGCGUAAAGGGCGUGUAGGCGGGGUAGCAAGUUAGAAGUGAAAUACAUCGGGCGCAACUCUGGUGUUGCUUUUAAAACUGCUAUUCUUGAGUGCAGGAGAGGCAAGUGGAAUUCCGAGUGUAGCGGUGGAAUGCGUAGAUAUAAGGAGGAACAUCAGUGGCGAAGGCGACUUUCUGGACUGUAACUGACGCUGAGGCACGAAAGUGUGGGGAGCAAACAGGAUUAGAUACCCCGGUAGUC